AUACUGACACUGAGGAGCGAAAGCGUGGGGAGCGAACAGGAUUAGAUACCCUGGUAGUCCACGCCGUAAACGAUGGGCGCUAGUUGUGCGAACCUUCCACGGUUUGUGCGACGCAGCUAACGCAUUAAGCGCCCCGCCUGGGGAGUACGAUCGCAAGAUUAAAACUCAAAGGAAUUGACGGGGCCCCGCACAAGCAGCGGAGCAUGCGGCUUAAUUCGACGCAACGCGAAGAACCUUACCAAGGCUUGACAUAUACAGGAAUACGGCAGAGAUGUCGUAGCGGUUAAACGUCUGUAUACAGGUGGUGCAUGGUUGUCGUCAGCUCGUGUCGUGAGAUGUUGGGUUAAGUCCCGCAACGAGCGCAACCCUCGUUCUGUGUUGCCAGCAUUUAGUUGGGGACUCACAGGAGACUGCCGGGGUUAACUCGGAGGAAGGUGGGGAUGACGUCAAAUCAUCAUGCCCCUUAUGUCUUGGGCUGCACGCAUGCUACAAUGGCUGGUACAAAGGGCUGCAAUACUGCAAAGUGGAGCGAAUCCCAAAAAGCCAGUCUCAGUUCGGAUUGGGGUCUGCAACUCGACCCCAUGAAGUCGGAGUUGCUAGUAAUCGUAGAUCAGCAACGCUACGGUGAAUACGUUCCCGGGGCUUGUACACACCGCCCGUCACAUCACGAAAGUCGGUAACACCC
rnacentral:rRNA from 1 species